rnacentral:rRNA from 1 species
UGGGGAAUUUUGGACAAUGGGGGAAACCCUGAUCCAGCCAUCCCGCGUGUGCGAUGAAGGCCUUCGGGUUGUAAAGCACUUUUGGCAGGAAAGAAACGUCGCGGGUUAAUACCCCGCGAAACUGACGGUACCUGCAGAAUAAGCACCGGCUAACUACGUGCCAGCAGCCGCGGUAAUACGUAGGGUGCAAGCGUUAAUCGGAAUUACUGGGCGUAAAGCGUGCGCAGGCGGUUCGGAAAGAAAGAUGUGAAAUCCCAGAGCUUAACUUUGGAACUGCAUUUUUAACUACCGGGCUAGAGUGUGUCAGAGGGAGGUGGAAUUCCGCGUGUAGCAGUGAAAUGCGUAGAUAUGCGGAGGAACACCGAUGGCGAAGGCAGCCUCCUGGGAUAACACUGACGCUCAUGCGCGAAAGCGUGGGGAGCAAACAGGAUUAGAUACCCUGGUAGUCCACGCCCUAAACGAUGUCAACUAGCUGUUGGGGCCUUCGGGCCUUGGUAGCGCAGCUAACGCGUGAAGUUGACCGCCUGGGGAGUACGGUC